CGCGCGACCUAUACCCGGCC
rnacentral:snRNA from 1 species